rnacentral:rRNA from 1 species
GGCUCAGGACGAACGCUGGCGGCGCGCCUAAUACAUGCAAGUCGAGCGAGAAGGUGUAGCAAUACACUUGUAGAGCGGCGAACGGGUGAGGAAUGCAUGGGUAACCUACCCUCGAGUGGGGAAUAACUAGCCGAAAGGUUAGCUAAUACCGCAUACGUUUCCGGGACUUCGGUGCCGGAAAGAAAGCAAUACCGUGGGUAUUGCGCUCAUGGAUGGGCUCAUGUCCUAUCAGCUUGUUGGUGAGGUAACGGCUCACCAAGGCUUCGACGGGUAGCUGGUCUGAGAGGACGAUCAGCCACACUGGCACUGCGACACGGGCCAGACUCCUACGGGAGGCAGCAGUAAGGAAUAUUGCGCAAUGGGCGAAAGCCUGACGCAGCGACGCCGCGUGGGGGAUGAAGGUCUUCGGAUUGUAAACCCCUUUCGGGAGGGAAGAUGGGAUGGGUAACCAUUCGGACGGUACCUCCAGAAGCAGCCACGGCUAACUUCGUGCCAGCAGCCGCGGUAAUACGAAGGUGGCAAGCGUUGUUCGGAUUCACUGGGCGUACAGGGUGUGUAGGCGGUUUGGUAAGCCUUCUGUUAAAGCUUCGGGCCCAACCCGGAAAGCGCAGAGGGUACUGCCAGGCUAGAGGACGGGAGAGGAGCGCGGAAUUCCCAGUGUAGCGGUGAAAUGCGUAGAGA